GGAGACGUGGCCGAGUGGUUGAAGGUACUCCCCUGCUAAGGGAGCAAGCGGGCUUAAACCUGCUUCGAGGGUUCGAAUCCCUCCGUCUCCGCCA
rnacentral:tRNA from 3 species